CAGAACAUUCUGAAUGUUCUGUAAAGGUCCCCCAAAUAACGUCCUCCACACCUUUAAAGAACUCAACAUUUUGACAUUCUCAGAACGUCCUUAACAUUCAGGAAAUGUAAAAUUUCUAGCUGGGUUGUCACUUUGUUAAUAUUGUUUGGAGUUUUGUUCUAUCUCUCUACCCAUCUCUCCCCUUUCUGCACUGACUGCGCAUGGGA
rnacentral:lncRNA from 1 species